rnacentral:tRNA from 1 species
ACUAUUUUGACAGAAAAAUGUAAUGAUUUUAGAAUUCAUAAAUAUAUAAUUUAAUUAUAUAGAUAGUA